rnacentral:rRNA from 1 species
AACGAACGCUGGCGGCAGGCCUAACACAUGCAAGUCGAACGAGGUCUUCGGAUCUAGUGGCGGACGGGUGAGUAACGCGUGGGAACGUGCCCUUCUCUACGGAAUAGUCCUGGGAAACUGGGUUUAAUACCGUAUACGCCCUUCGGGGGAAAGAAUUUCGGGGAAGGAUCGGCCCGCGUUGGAUUAGGUAGUUGGUGGGGUAAUGGCCUACCAAGCCGACGAUCCAUAGCUGGUUUGAGAGGAUGAUCAGCCACACUGGGACUGAGACACGGCCCAGACUCCUACGGGAGGCAGCAGUGAGGAAUCUUGGACAAUGGGGGCAACCCUGAUCCAGCCAUGCCGCGUGAACGAUGAAGGCCUUAGGGUUGUAAAGUUCUUUCAACGGUGAAGAUAAUGACGGUAGCCGUAGAAGAAACCCGGCUAACUCCGUGCCAGCGCCGCGGUAA